rnacentral:rRNA from 1 species
AGUGGCGGACGGGUGAGUAACGCGUGGGUAACCUGCCUCAUACAGGGGGAUAACAGUUAGAAAUAGACUGCUAAUACCGCAUAAGACCACAGCACCGCAUGGUGCAGGGUAAAAACUCCGGUGGUAUGAGAUGGACCCGCGUCUGAUUAGGUAGUUGGUGGGUAACGCCUACCAAGCCGACGAUCAGUAGCCGACCUGAGAGGGUGACCGGCCACAUUGGGACUGAGACACGGUCCAA